CCCUUAGAUGUUCUGGGCUGCACGCGCGCUACACUGAUGCGCUCAACGAGUUUUAACCUUGCCUGGAAAGGUUGGGUAAUCUUUUUAAAACGCAUCGUGAUGGGGAUAGAUUAUUGCAAUUAUUAAUCUUCAACGAGGAAUUCCUAGUAAGCGCGAGUCAUCAGCUCGUGCUGAUUACGUCCCUGCCCUUUGUACACACCGCCCGUCGCUCCUACCGAUUGAAUGAUCCGAUGAAUAUCAUGGAUUGAGGAUGCAAGCAGGUUCGCCUGUCUUCAUCUUCGAGAAGUGAAGUAAAUCUUAUCAUUUAGAGGAAGGAGAAGUCGUAACA
rnacentral:rRNA from 1 species